rnacentral:misc_RNA from 1 species
GUACCCUCAAGCCUAGCUUGGUGUUGGGUGUUUGUCUUAGCUUCUAGCUUAGACUCGCCUUAAAAUAAUUGGCAGCCGGCAUUUUGGCCUGGAUCGCAGCACAUUUUGCGUCCUUGCCUAAGUUGUUAGCAUCCACUAAGACUCUAAC